GAUGAACGCUGGCGGCGUGCUUAACACAUGCAAGUCGAACGAAGCACUUGGUCUUGACCCCUUCGGGGCGAUUGACCUUGUGACUGAGUGGCGGACGGGUGAGUAACGCGUGAGUAACCUGCCUUAUACCGGGGGAUAACAGUUAGAAAUGACUGCUAAUACCGCAUAAGCGCACAGCAUCGCAUGGUGCAGUGUGAAAAACUCUGGUGGUAUAAGAUGGACUCGCGUCUGAUUAGCUAGUUGGUGAGGUAACGGCCCACCAAGGCGACGAUCAGUAGCCGGCCUGAGAGGGUGGACGGCCACAUUGGGACUGAGACACGGCCCAGACUCCUACGGGAGGCAGCAGUGGGGAAUAUUGCACAAUGGGGGAAACCCUGAUGCAGCGACGCCGCGUGAAGGAAGAAGUAUUUCGGUAUGUAAACUUCUAUCAGCAGGGAAGAAAAUGACGGUACCUGACUAAGAAGCCCCGGCUAAUUACGUGCCAGCCGCCGCCGUAACAC
rnacentral:rRNA from 1 species